rnacentral:lncRNA from 1 species
CCGAAACUUCUCCUUCGCCGACAUUGGCAUCAUCGCCGGCGUAGGGGAAGAAGACGACAAAAAGGAAGUUGCCUUGGACAUAACGGCGAUGAAGAAGAAGUGCGGAAUAGCAUGUCCGGAUCUUGUCCAGUUGUCGAAUUUGAAUAGCCUUAACCCGGAACAUUCGGAUUCGGAGUUUCCGAAACGGACACCGAAAAAGCGAGGGCGAAAACCGGGGCUGGGGAGAGACACACCGUUGAACCAUGUGGAAGCGGAGAGGCAGCGGCGGGAGAAGCUCAACCACCGGUUCUACGCCCUGCGAGCGGUGGUGCCGAACGUGUCGAGAAUGGACAAGGCGUCGCUGCUGUCCGAUGCCGUUUCGUACAUCAACGAGCUGAAAGGCAAGGUGGACGAGCUGGAGUCGCAGGUGCAGAGAGAGUCCAAGAAAGUGAAAGUCGAGACCGGCGACAACUUGGACAAUCAGAGCACCACGACGUCGGUGGAGCAAACGCGGCCGCCCAACUCGUCGGCGAGUGGGUCUACGGGGUUCGAGACGGAGGUGAAGAUAGUAGGUUCGGACGCCAUGAUUAGGGUUCAGUCCGCGAAUGUGAACUACCCAUCAGCUAGGUUAAUGGCGGCACUGCGUGACUUGGAGUUUGAGAUCCACCAUGCGAGCUUGUCGUGCAUGAACGAGCUCAUGCUGCAAGAUGUUGUGGUGAAGGUGCCUAACAACAUGAGAAGUGAAGAGAGUAUCAAAGCUGCUCUUCUUAAAAUAUUAGAUCAGAACUGAAGUUUGAUAAACCGAUUUGAUCAGUUGGGUACCUUUUAAUUUUAAAUAUUGUUUAAACUGGAUAUUUAUUUCUCUUUCUAUUAAAAUAAUUAUGUUCCUUGUUGAUUUUUUGUUAUGUAAAAUAUGUAAUUAAGGAGAUAAUUAAAUAUCAAUAACGAUUUGUUCUUUUCCUUCAAAAAGUUUUUUUCAAACUGCUUCUAGAAUUGUAAAGAAUGUUUUAGAUUAUAAACACAACAUAUAUUGUGAAUCAUGUGACGAAUUCCGUAAGUAAAACGCUAUCUUUCUACUAUUUCACCUUUAAAAAAAAACUCUCUCUCACCCGUUACAAGUACUUUUGCUUUUACGUGAAGAGAAAGUUCAACGUUCAACAUUCAACGUUAGAUGCAGCGAUAAAUGUUCUUGAUUCGAUGUAUUACUGCUAAUUUAAUGACUAAAUGACGACAUAAAAAUAGAGAUUUGAAUUCUGGAAGUCAUUACACUAAUAGUUGUUUGUGUUCCCCAUGUACGUGGCACAUAGGUGGUUUUAGGACAAAGACAGUGGAACAAUCCGUAUAAUUUGGGUGAAGCAAGGACUCCAUGUGUGGGAGGAACAGAUAUUUAUGCACGUUUGUAAAGAGAGUGAGUGGACUGACUUCUUGGGUCCUUGGUGAGGUGAAGAGACAAGUGAAAAAGGAAGUGGGGUUCCGUUUUUCUGCACCUGUGAAUAACUUGGCCAAAAGUAAACCACUCGUGCCGUUUGUUUGUGGACGAAAUGGAAUAUCCAAUCUGGAAUCUGAUAUGGUGUUUGGGGCCCUGGGACACGAGAAUCUCUCGGACCCGCCAUCGCACCCACUAACGAAGAAAAAAUACUAAACAAAACAAAACAAAACAAAAAACACUGUAAAAAUGUGCUUCUUAUGCGAUGAUUGUUAUUAUUUUUUGUGGUAGCGUACGAUGUGGGUUGAAACCUAACUAGGUUAGAAAACAAGGGUGGCAAAUAUUAAAAAUAAAAAAACGAAGAAAGGCAACGUGCAAAAACCUAGCGCACACAAUGUUGAUGCUUUACGGAUCCCACCAGCAUGCAAUUCGUUGUUCACCCACAGUAGGUGAAUGAUGAUAUCCCCGUGUUUUGCCGUUUUUAUUUGUGGGUUUAAGCCAUCGAGCUUAAGCUUUAAACAGUUUGCUUAGCUGUCCACAGAUGGACCAUAUAAUAGGUAAAUAUUAUGUCACAAAACGUUUGACUCAGAAAUAUACAGCUCGAUUUACAUAACUGGAACGCUUAUUUGUAAGCAAUAAAAGGAUUUAGUUACUGCAUGAACAAGUCACUACCAAGAAUUCCAUUACCAAAAAUUUGUAGAGUUAAAGAAAAUUUAACCAACCAAAUAAACUAGAAAUAAACCUACAGAUCAUGUAGAAUAUGUAUAAAUCAACAGAUGCUCAUAAUUCCUAAAGCAUAUGCAUAUCAAACCUAAGAAAAAUCAAACAGUAGCUGUUUCUCUCUCUCUGUCUUUAUAGCAUCGUUUUGUUUCUAGUCCUAGUCCAAUACAUCAACUUAAUUAGUUGAUUUUUUGCACAUCUUCUCAUAUGAAAAACUCAAAUUAUUAGAAGAAAGUUUGCCUUAUUUGACAGAUUAGACUAACAAAUGCUAACAAAAUGAAACAACAAGGGCAAAAAUGCAACAACAUGAAACUACAAGGGCAAAAAUGCAACAAACGAAACAACAAGGGUGAAAGUAAAAACUCGAGUAAACUAUAUGAUUUUCUGAGUGUUUAGAUGUGGGAUGCCACUAAUACUAUAGUAUAAUAGUAUUUCUCUACACCACCAGUAACUAGGAAGUCGUAUGCAUGACUAGUUUGAUGUCAAAUUUUGAAUGAUUCAACAUGCUACUUAACGCCAAUUUCAAAAUUAGUCGUCGCUCUCUAAUAUGAUUUGGCACCGAUGCCUUUUUCGUCUUCUUAUAAAAGAAUAUUGUUGUAUGAAAAAUAAAAAAGUUUAACACCCAUUAUUAGGUAAUACACACUCCUAUCGUUUUUAAUGAAGAAAAAGGUAGCUAGAUAAGAGAUAGAUAACAUGUUAAUUUAUACACAUAUAUAUAUAUGGACUGGAUUUGGAUCUUCUCCUGAGUAAAGGAGACGGAGCCUCUUGACCCAAAUACACGGACCAUUGGAUUUUGAUCUAACGGCUACGGCUACAACUAUUAUAAUUUUUAGAAGAACCCCAUGUUUGGAGUCAUUAGAUCAAAAUCCAACGGCCUAUGUGUUUGAAUAAGGGGGAUCCGUCUCUCUUGCUUAAGAGAGGAUCCAAAUCCAUAUGGACUAUUAUUUGCUGAUGAAAAUUAUAUUUAAAAUGAAUCUAAUGAUAUUGUCUUUUUUAUAUUUCUCAGAAAGAACAAUGUUGAUGCUUGUUCAUGGCUUGUAAAAGUAAAAACGUGCAAUAUUUGGUUCUGAAUGAGGAUCCUCUUCGGAUCUUAAUUGUUCAAUUAUUUUAAAUAUUUUUAUUUUAAAUUAAAUAUAAAUAAUUUCUAAUGAAAAUUAAUCAUAUAUAAUGAACAGACACGAUUUAAGAAUCUACAUAAUCAUCGUAAAGAGAAUCCGGAUCCUCCUGGAUUGGUUCUUUUCGCUUUUGUAAAUAAGGAGUGGUAGGACCAAUGAUGUGGACCUGGAGGGACCACAAAACUAUUGAUGCAACGAUACAAAUAAGAAAAUAUCACAUCAACAAAUGUCUGAUUAGACCGAUUCUUUGUCUUAGAUAAUAAAAGUAGGAAUAUUUUGAAUGCAGUUCCUAAUCCUUAACAUUCUUUGAUUAAAACUUUAAUAGUAUUCAAAGUUUGAUCAAGGUCCCUUGACUUUGUACAUCUUAUUAUAUUACUAUUAAUAUUUGUAUUUUUAUAGUUUUGACAUUAAUUGUUUGAUAUUUUAUGAGAUUUAUAAUCCUAUAAAUUUAAAAUCUCUCAUUAUAAUACUAUUAGAAACGGUUAUAAUAAAAAAAAUUCAAAUAUUUUUAUUGAAUAAAUGGAUAAAAACUAUGUAAAAAUAAGAAAUAAUAAAUGGCAAAAGAAUGUAUUCAUAGUGUUAAAAAAAUUGAUACAUUUUACAAAAAAAAUUGAUACAUUUCACAUAUAACAAAUUGGUACAUUAAUAAAGAAGAAUUGGUACAUUAGAAAUAAAUUAGGGUACGGAUAAAAGAUUAAAAAUUAUGAAUACAAAUGAAUUUUAAAAAAUAUAGGCGCUAAAAGAAAUUAAUACAUGGGUACAAAAUAAAACUAAAAAGAAAAUACUACAAAUUAAAAAAAAUGUUGAAAAUUAAAAGUGGGUACAAACUAAAAAUAUAAAUAUAUGAUACAAAAUUUAGGCAUAAAACAUAAAUAUACCAUAUGUAAUUUUUCUAUCAUUGAUUAAAUAUACACUGUCACGUGACAGUAUACACAUGGGUACAAACACAAAUAAAACUUUAAAUAAUAUGGGCACAAAAAGAAUGACACACCCCGUCCCGAAGGAGGGCAUGCUGGCCGUCACGUGAGAGUGAUGUAACCAUUUACACAGUUCGGAAGCUUUAAAGAUACAAUUACUAAGAUGUAACACCCGAGGGUGAGUCCUACUUUUGUGAAUUCUGUCAGAGCACCAUUGGAUUCCUCGUGGCCACCAAAGCUCUGCUAUCUUGAACCUGGAGGGGCGCAAAACAAAGUUGAGUGGGUCAGUAAAACAAAGCUUUGCGAAAAUCAUCUCAUUAUCAAAACGCUAACCCCUUACUGUAAAACCCGUAUACUGUCCCAAAAAUAUGUAAUAUGUAUACUUAUCUCAAAACCAAGCUUAGAAGUAGUGGUAUGUGAAUUAUAUGCCAUGCCAAAAUAUCUCAACAAAACAUAUAAAUAGCUCAUGAAAAAUAAUAUGUCAACCGGAUCCAUCUAUAGUGGCCUGUACGGCUGAACUAUAGCUCAUAAUCACUCUCAUCAAUCAAUCUAGCCGGAGUCAUCACAAGUGACCUGUACGGCACUACACUGCACACGAGUCGGAACCCUUCACUAGAAGAAAAAAGCUCAUCUAUCAUGGUGAAUGCUCGUGAUAAAUUGUAAUCCACCACAGGCACUGUGCCCGUUAGUAAUCUGAAUGUGAUAAAAAGUCUUAAUUUCUACCACAGGCUAUGCCCGUUGUCAAACAUAAUGUAACCACGGAUUGUGCCCGUGAUAGAUUGGAAUUUAACAUCACGUGUUACGACCGUUGUGAAUUAUUUAUUGACCACGGUUCAUGCCCGUUAUAAAAAAAUUUCCACAAAUAAAAAAAAUAUCUAUUUAAUAAAUAUAUAUAUUUAAAUAUUUAUAUACUAAAUAACCAACAAAAUUUCAUAUUUAUUACAAUAUAAUAAAUUACAGAAUAACCAAAACCGAAUAGGAAAUCAAUAUGAUAAUUAGGAAAAUUUAUACUAUUUAUUAACAGAAGGUUCUUUGUCAACCAAAAUUGCAGAAAAUUGUGGUAAGAAUCACUUCACUUCAAUUCAAAUAGAUUACGAUUAUGAAUAAAUAUGUAAAACACAAAAAUAAAAUAAAUGAAAUGUAAAAGGAGGGAAACCGCACGUCUCCCUUCUUCUCCCCCUUUUCUCUCUGCCUUUAUCUCCAAAUACAUAACUGCUCCACGUUUUUCUCAUCACAAUAAUGUCUCUUUUCCUGAACUCACGUAUUUUGCAACCCAAACUGCUUCCAUACUUUAUAAUGUUUAAUUCCUUUUCGAACUCUACUGAAGUAAGAAUUAAUCUGCAAGUUUCAGUUUGUAAGACAUAAAAAGUCCACCCAUUGAUGCACUCAAGUGGCUAACAUUUCAUGUAAAAUUUAGAUAACCCUAUAUUUGUUAUUUGGUAUAACUUAUGAUAUGUUGGAUCGAUGCAUGCAUACCGCCAUGGUGAUCCCUGAUUGCAGCACAAGGAAGACACAUACCCAGCACAAAGGAGGAGGCAAGCAUGCCGCCAUGGCGACCUCUGAUUGCAGGUCGGCUUCUCCAGUCAACAGAGCCUUCCCAUUUAGUGAUGAGCUGUUGUUCUUGCCCCUACAGUAACCAUUACCAAAACUCAUGAGGUUUAGGAAAAACCAGGCAUGAGAGGAAAUAAAGUGUAAGGGAUGAAAGAAAAAAAAAGGAUAAAGAAAGAAAGAGGAAACCACCAUUUUCUAUUUUUUGAGCCUUUUUUUUUCUUCCCAUUUGGCGAUUCAAUUUAAUUUGGAUCGGAUCCCUGGUGCCAUAGGAUUUUGAUUAGAAAUAAAAAGGAGCGACUGGAGAUUUAAAGAGUUUGUGAAAUUUUCAAAUCUCAAAGAUGUUUGAAAUUUCCCAAAAAUUCGGUGUCCCGCCUUUUCUAAAUAUUUUUCAUUAUGUGUAUGAUUAUACCACACAUUAUGUCCGUGGUUGAUAACAAAAAUGCACUGUAGAACUAACAAUAUUGACCACGAGCAUUGUCCGUGGUGGCUUAGUAUAUUUACAACGUGCAACUUUGCGUGUGGUCAUUUACCGUUAUUUUACAACGGGCUAAGAUUUGUCUGUGAUGAAAAAUUAACUUUUAUAACGUACUUAUUAUGCCCGUGGUAAAAUUUUAUUUUUACAACGAGCUCAUAAAGUCCGUGGUAAAAUUGUCGUGAUAGAUGUGUUGUUUUCUUGUAGUGCUUGGAAAGGUCUGUAUGACUGGGUGAAUAUAGUUAUACUCACACUAUCCUCCCCUGAUAGCUAUGCGAUAAAUCGCUAAUCACCUACGAAUCGGAACCACCUCUAAUGGUCUGUACGACUGGGCACCUAAAUUGGAUCCAAUUGUGAGCGUAUAGUGCGGGGGUGACUAUAUAUGUAUAGGCCUGAAUCAUCUCUAUCACAAUCACCCUAGUGCAGGUUUAUGAGCUUUCCAUCAUAUCAACUUAACAAUUACAUAAUUAAAUUUAUGAACUUACCUGACACUUACCUGUGCGUCCGCAACACCAAUCAUGCAUGUAUGCAACUAAUGCAUAAAUAAAUAGGCAUAUAUUUUGCAUGGCAUUUCAUAUCGCAUUUCACUUAAAUUGAUCUUCUGGGAAGAAAUCUCAUUUAUAUAGAUAUAUAUACGGAAAACAAAACUGCCGACUCACCUGGAGUUCGCCCUACAACUCCCUAGCACAACACAUCAAGGCGUCAUGACGAUCGGUGCCUAGAAUAAUCAUCAAGACAUGCCUCAGAAAUCAUAUCGAUAUAAUAUAACUUAUAUAAAACACGUCACUACGUAGAUCGAUCCGGAAGAUCUGCAAUUCAGAUUUCCAAUUUGAAACUUCCAGAGAUCUAGAAUAUACCUCUAGGACAACAUCCUAAAAUUUCAUUACCAUCCAACGGUCAGAUCUCCGUCAAUUGCCAAAACUAAGUAACGGUUAACAUUCUAUAUUAUGAACUUACAACUCCAAUUCCGAAAUAUCCGUAAAUCGGAUUCCCGAUCCGUAAGUUCCUAUAAUCCUUAAAUAUUACGUAAUACUACAUAUCAAAUUUUGGUGACGAUCCGACGGUUGGAUCGUCGAUUCACCUUUUGGCCUAACCACGAAUCGUAACGAAUUUAGGUUCAAUUACUCAAUUUACGUAAGUCAAUUAUCAAAAAUGAACCUAGAACAUUAAACACAUGCUAAUAAUGACAUUGGCGGGCCACUGGCCACGCGCCGCCGCACGAGCCACCGCGGGUGGUGGUCGGCCGCCCCGGCUCGCCGGAAAAUCCAACUAUCUCCAAAAAUUACCAAAAUUUACAAAAAGGAAUAUCUCAAUGAGUAGAGUAAACUUUAUACCUGAGGCCAAGGCCAAUUUGUCCUAGAAAAGCUCAAUUUUUUCCAAAACCGUACGAAACCCUAGAAAUGGGUGAGUUCCAAUUCGUCCUCAAAUCAACUCUGCCGUCCCAACCAAUGCUUGGGCUUUGUUCUAGGCCUCAAGAGGAAGCUAUGGGUGGUGGAAAUUGGAAGAAUUUGCUUCAAACAUAGGAGAAUUUUGAACAUGAAGCUCGCGGCACCCGUGGGUAUUUUCAUCCAAACUCACACCUAAUCUCCUCAAAUUUGAUAUGGAAAUGAUAGAGGGAAGGCAUAUAAGAUGAUUGGGGGUGGUUGUUUGGCUCAAUGCAUCGGAAAAAUGGGUGAAAAAUGUCGAAAUUUGGGUGUGGGUGCCGCGGGUCGAAACGGGUCACGGGUGAAGACCUGUUUUCUUCCUUCUCUUCUCCGCUUCUCGCCCUCUCUCCUUUCCUCCUUUCUCUGUUCCGAUUGGCUGGUCUCCUCUCUCUCUUCUCCCCAUUCGCCAGUCUCUCUCCCUGGUCUGUCCCGGAGCUCCUACCUCUUCUUUGGUUAGGCAGUUUUGCCCAACCCGCUCCUUACUUCUUCUUUUUCACCAGUCACGCACACAUACAUACACAUACAAAAUCUUCUUUCAUCUUUUUAUUUUUAUUAUUUCCCUUACAUCCGAGCCAUCCAUUUCAGAUUUCCUUUAAUCUGGGUCAUCCAAAUGGCACACCAAAUUUUUAUAAUAAAAUUCAUAAAAUGCACAAACUUCAAACUUUAAAAUCUUUUUCGUUAUAACUCCAAAUCACGAACCGUCUGCGCCCACACUUCCGUAGCGACGAGUACUACGAUGAUAUGUCAAGAAAAUAAAUCUUAGAUGGCACAACACGACGAUUAACCUCGAAUAAUGCGCGUACCUCAAAGUGCAUUUUUGUAAAAUCCUUUACUAAAACUUUAAAAACUCUUAAAAUCAGGGACGGGCUGUCACAAAGAAACUAAUAUAUGGGUACAAAUUAGAAAUGAAAAGAAAAUUGGUACAAAUUAAAAAAUAUUUGCAAAUUAAAAUUAGGUACAAACUAAAAAUAAAAAUAUAUGAUAAAAAAAUUUAGCCAUAAAUAUAAAUAUACUAAUUGUAACAUUUUUAACAUUAAAGGAAUUUAUUUAAAAAUAAAAAUAUUUUAUUAUUCAAAUAAUUAAUCAUGUUAUUAAUACCCAAGGACCUUGAUCAAAAAUUAAAAAUGAAUAGGAUUUUAAUCAAUGGAGUAACAAAAAGAAUGAUUUGAACCUAAUUUUCCCAUAAAAGUAAAAUUUAAAGUAAGUUUAUUAUUAUUAUUUUUGUUGAGGAAACUGGACUUUCAUAAAACCACGACAAAAGCCAAAUUACAAGGAGAGAGCCACGGAGGCUGAUAGAAACCAACAGAGAGAAAGCAAGAGGGAUGUAAGAGCCAUGAUUUAAUCUUUACUAGUAAUGAUCUCUUAAUUUUAACUCAAUUGGAGCAAUAGUCUUUCAACUAAACAUUCAUUACUAUUAGUCUCUCAACUCAUUAAAAUGUGUAGUUAGGUCCCUCAACUAAAAAUCAAUUACCAUUGGUCCCUCAACUUUAAUCCAACUAGAGAAAUGAUCUAUCAACUUUAACCCAAUUUGAGCAAUGAUCCCUCAACUUUAACCCAAUUGUAGCAAUGAUCUUUCCAACAUAACUCAUCUUGAUAAAAUUCUGACGAAGUUGGCGAAAAUGACCAUAGCUAUACGUUUUGAUGAGUUGAGGGACCCCAAUUUUAUCAAUGGUCAUUCUAACAUAACUCAUUUUGACAAAAUUCUAACGAAGUUGACGAAAAUGACCAUAACUACACAUUUUGAUAAGUUUAGGGAGUGGACCAAUGGUAAUAUAUUUUUAGUUAAGGGACCAUUGCUCUAAUUUAAUUAAAGUUGAUGGACCAUUGCUACAAUUUAAUCUAUUUAUAACGUAUCCACGCUAUCGGGUGAAGUUGUUAAAGUAAUGUCAAGUAAAUUAAAUUUAUAAACUAAAUUUGCAAACUAAAUAAUGUGUUACCAAUGAGAAAUAAGCAUGUUAAUCAACACUUAAGUAAUAAUCCAAUCGUAAUUCCAUAUAAUUUAGCUUACAAAAUCUAGUCUCCCUAACAUUACAUUUGUUAAAAAGUUUCGGAUUAUUCGCUCUAUAUAUUUUGGCCGAUAAAUCAACAAUUUUUAUUCAAUUCGACAUAUAUUAGGUUGAUAUGUGGGUGAAUCCGCAACAGAUGGUGAAGAAAAUAGGUUUCAACCCCCUUUCCCAAAAAAGAAACUUUGUAUGAUAAUCCUAUAUAUCGACUGAUAUAUCAGUAAUUGUGCUAAUAUUUUAAUCCUCGGUCUUGUCCUGCCACAUCGAUAAAAAAAAACAACGAAAAGAUAAAACGCUCUUAGAGUUAUAACUUAUUACUACGGUUUAGUGAUAUUUCUAUUCACUUGCAAGUGAGAGGUCUUAGGUUCGAUUCUUGUCAAAGGCAAAUUUGAACAACAUUAUUGCUAGUAGUGGCGAAGCCAGGAAUUGUCGGGGGGAGGGGCGAAAUUUUUUUUUCCCGAACAAACGAUAUUAUCUACACUAAGGGGGUAGGGGAAUGGGCUAAGCCUGACAAUGAGCUAGCAAUAAUGUGGUUCAAAUUUGACUUUGGCGAGAAUCAAACCUAAAUCCUUUCACUUACAAGUGAAGAGAAAUAUUACUAGACCAUAGCACUGGUGGCGGGUUGGGGCGAACUUAAAAGAGUACAAGGUUAAAAAAGAUUAGUCAAUAUUUCAUCAAACUCAAUGUCCUCACUUUAUUGGGAACUACCCGGAAUAAUCGAAGAGGACUACCUGAAAUAUUUAAAGGAUGACCACUUGGAAUAUUUGGAUGAGGGUUUAAGCAUUGUUCUUAUAGUAUCAUUUCAUUACGUAAUUGUAUACUAUGGAAAAAAAAAAGUCUUAGAUUCUUAAUCAAUACCAAUAUCAUAUAAAUUAUUCAUUAGACAAAAUUCAAUUCAAUUAAUCAAUAUCAAUGAGAAUAAUCAAGAAUUCAAUUUUUACUUUAAAUAACAAGUUUAUUCAUCAAUAAUUAUAAGAUUUCAUAUUCAUAUUCAAUAAUUAAUAACCAUAUUGAUUAAUUACUCUAUGAUUCUACGUCAAAUAAACAAAAUUUCAAAUUAAAUAACCAAUUAGGGUUAAGGCUAACAUAAAUUUGGAAAUUAAAAACUUCAUCUAAGAGAAAGGGGGCCAAGAAUGGCGGCUGGAGGCUGGCUGCUUGCAGCUUGGAUGGCUUAAAAGCUUGAAGUUGAAGCCUUAAUGUCUGGUAGCAGGGGAAUGAGGCUGCUUGCUGAGAUCUGUUCUGCUGCCAUCUGAUUAAUUUUAUUUUUCAAUUCUAUAACUAAACGAUGUCGUUGCAUUAAAGGAAAUUUUUUAACUAGGACUAAAUGGUGUCGUUUGGUCUGGCUUUUGAGAAAAAUAUAAAACCAAACGCAGCAGAGCUGCAUAUCAGCAACAAAUCCAGAUCCGGAUGAGAACAGACGGAACCACCGCACCAACAAGCACUUUCGACGGGACCAGAAAGGCGAAACCACCGCUCCUAGACUUGUUUUCCGGUGAGGGGAGUGGCGGCCGCCACUCCUCGCCCUCACAUGGCUUCACCACUGAUUGCUAGCACAUUGUAAAGCUAAACUCAUCUCCUCCCCCUUAGUGUAGAUAAUAUUGUUUGUUAAAAAAAAAAAUUGCUCUUAGGGUUUGCAAAAUUGGCAUCUGUCUCUCCUUACGGACCAAAAUGGUUAAGUGAACAUGGACGCAAGUUAAGUCCUUAUAUGGCCCGUAAGCAUGGGAUUAGGAUCCUAGCCGGAUUCUCUUGUGGAGAUCCAGAUGAUCAAUCAAUUGUAUCCGUUUAUCAUACAUUGUGCGGUCAGAAAUCAUUUUAAAUUUUUUAUUUAAAAUCAAAUAAAUAGUACCUAACGAAAAUUAACCGUAUAAUGUACAAUAAAUGAAAACGAUUGAUUGAUUCUCCAAAUCCCGAUAAAGAGAAUCCUCAUCCGUAACCAUGGGCAGACUGCUCACCCAAAAACUAAGUUCCCCAUAUUGAAUCAGAUUUUCCCCAAAUUAGGCUUAUGAUAAGACACAACAAUUUGUGGGAGCGUGUGGAAGAAGAAGAAAAACCCAUUUUACUUAUAUUCACUCACUUGACUCAGAGUACUCUAUUCCAACUUAUUUCUCCGAUUCCUCCGACGUACCCUCCCAUCAACAAGCUUUUAUACCUUAUAUUCUACCAUAAAAAAGUUUUCUGGUUCGGACUUCCUUAGAAUUUACCUAUUUCACACCACAAGGACCCUAAAAGCAUUACUAUAGAAAUCCUUUUCGUGAACAUGUAAAAAUGCAAUUGCGUAUGAGCUCAUGCUUACUGCUUUGAAUUUAACAAUUGCAAAGAAAAUAAUUUGAACGUGGGAUGGUGCUUAACUAACACCACACUAGUUUCGAUUUUAAUUCCAAUUAAAAAUCCUACUGUUUUGAAGAUUUUACUCCCCGUUAAGAGUAUUGAAUAACACAAUAAACAAUCUGACUACCUUUUGAUGAGUCGAUUUCAUAUUAUAUAUUUUACCAUAUUCUUAGUGUAAUUUGGUGAGAUUUGAUAUUUUGUUUUAUAUUUCAAAUGUAGGAGAUGUGACCUUAUUCUAUGCAAAAAAUAAUGAGAGAAUUUCCAGUUGGAGUAGAUUCAAAAGUCUGUCAAGAAGGUUAUAUCAAAAUUUCAGCAUUUUUAUUCCAAAGUAUUUGAUUAUGGCGAAGGAUUAAAGGACCAAGGCGUAGUGUUGGCAUAUUGAUUUGUUGGGCUUAAUUGUGAGUUUUUAGCAAGAAGAUGACAUUUUCUGGAGUUAGGCCCUUUUAUGGAGUUGUAGAGAACAUCUUAAUAUUCAAAACAAGAUCUUUUGGGUGAGUUUUGGUGCUGGUCUGGUCUAGAAACGUGAAGUGUUUCGGACUGGGCAGAUUGCCUAGUUAUGUUAGGUUUGUGAUUUUAAGUUAUCCUUUUGUUAUUUUGUUUCCUAGUUUUUAAGAAUGCCUUAUUUAGGUAGGUUUGAGAAUAAGAUGCUAAUUAUAAGCACUAAUACGCCAUUAGGGUUUUUUACACAUCAAUUUGGAAAACUUGGCUAGGCUUUGGCGAGUUGUAUUCUUUUUUCAAGGUUGUUUUCUAUCUUUUCUUCUUAAUGAUAUUUUUUCUUUUUAAUCAUGAUUAUGCGUAAUUAAUUUAUUUUUGCUAGAACAAGGUCAAGAGCCUUAAUCGGAAUAUGUAGUCUUUUAUCAAUUCGCUUAUGAAUUUAUACAUGUUUGCUUUGAAUUAUUAAUCCCUGCAUAUAAACCAUCUAAUUGUCUUAAUGGUUUAUCACCAUUAAAAUAUUUAGACAAGUAAUUUGAUAUAAUGUUUGUUGGAACAUCACUUUGAAAUUGAGGAGAGCUUCUUGUAAUUGAUAAUUGUGAUUUCACGUAAGACGAACAUCACGCUCUUAAGAGUUACAUGAUUUUUCAAAAGAUUUUCACAAAACUUAAUGAAUCUUACAUCUUUAUAUAUGAUCUGAACAUCAUAAACGGAUUGUAUGUUAGAUGUACGUUCUCGCUUAAAUAUCACAAAAAGAAUAUGCAUUAGUAAUUAAUACAUAACCUUUAAAGUAUGUAUGUGAUAAUUCAUGUAUAAUUGGUAGAACUAGAUAUGAUUGUUAACGACGACGGCUAAAUCUGAUCCCAUUUAUAAUUGAAUUUUCCAAAAACUACGCACCAAAAACCUUUGUAUCAUGUCAAAAGUAGUUUCAUCAAUUGAUGAUGAAGGGAAGGACCAUUCAUUGUUUCAUGUUUUAUCUUAUAAAUAAAUAAAAAGUUGAUGCAUUUAAACAUCAUUCAAGCAAGAGAGGGACCCCACAACAGAAAGUUGCGUAUGGCCCCAAUCAGCCACUAUGCCUUUCCCUUUCACUCCAUGUGCUAGUGCUGCCCAAUAGUGACUUCACCCUCCUAAGGCUUUAUAUAGCUUCUAUGAGCCUAAUUUUUCCAACCAAUAUUAUAUUAAAGAUAAUGCUUUAUUAUCUCACAUGCAAAAAUCUUCGCCCCUAUAAUUUUAUAAUCGAUAAUGACCACAGAGUGGUUUAGUGAUCGAAAACUAAUUAUAGGUUCGUAUUUAUAUAGCAUGUUAUAGAUUUGAUCUUUGGUACUGAUAAAUCACAUGAUAGUGAUCAGGGAGAGGGUGAAAUAUCUUUGUGAGUUUUUCUCGACCCCCAAAAUAGUGAAGUGCAGUGGCAAAACCAUUAGCUGAUCUUUUUUUUUUCUAAAAAAAUAAAAUAAAAUUUAUAAUCAAUAAAAACUGUUAAAUCUCUUAAUUUUUAUUAGAUAUUCUCUACAAAAAAAUCAUUUGAAUCGAAGAUCAUUAAAUCAUUCAAAUGUAGCGAACAAAUCAACAGUUCACUGUAAAUAUGCUACUUAGUAUCUAAACCGUUGAUUUAUUUUGAUACAUUUAGAUGAUUAAACGAUCUACAAUUAUAAUAAUUUUUUUGGUAGAUAUAAUAUUCAAAUAGAGAUUAAAAGAUUAAAAGAUAUGGAUUAUAAAAUUUUAAUUGUAAAGUUAAUUGCAAGUGAAAGAUUGAGCUUGUAUUAAAAAAGAAAUAAGUGGCCGUUUGUUUGCCCUCACUAAACUUCCUUGGAUUGAACUGGCUUAGCUAGGAUUGCUAGCCAGUGUUUGAUGCGAACAAGGACUACUGUUAAUGAGACUAAGGGCUAGUUUGGUAUUGCUGUGUUUUGAAAAAAAAUUGCUUCUGCUAUGCUGUGAGAAUAAGCGGCUGUGAAAUAAAGUUGUAGAGUGUUUGGUAAACUUUUUUGUAAAAAUGCUUUUGAAAAAAAAAAUAGUAUUAUAAUAUUUGAUAAACUUUUAUGUAAAACAGAUGUGAAAAAAAGUCAAAUUUUCAAAGCUGAGUUUUGUAGCUUCUUAUUUUCGGCUUUUUUUUUUACCCAAAUCUGUGAAAAAAAACUGAAACGGAAUGUUUACCGAACACAAAAAAGCUCCCAGUUUUUUUUUAUACCAAUUUUUUUUAGAAUCACCGUAUUACCGAACCAGACCUAUGUUGGACUCGCACCGACUAAGUCUUUCGCUAGGUCGUCUUAGCGAGGAUCCCUGAUAGGUAUGGGAUUGCUAAUCCCGUCCUCAAAUCUGUUUCGUUUGCCCGUUGCAUCAUCUACAUACUGCAUCGUCUGCAAGCGUUCUUCUCUGCAACACCGUUUGCCCACCCCCCAGAUUUGAAACAAAAGCCUCACUCGCUGCCUAAAUCUCAAAAUCCAACCACAAAAUUAAAAAAUUAAAAAUAAAACGCAAAACAAUAACAACAACCAAAUCCAACCACGAAAUUCAAAGUCCACCCCGUGCCAGAAAAUUCCGAGAUGGCUUUGCAGGCGGAGAAGCCAACACAUGUAUCAGAUGGAAGAGAGAGAUCCGAAAAUUUUUAGAAGAAAAAAGGAUGAGGAAGGUGGAUAUGCUUAAUGGCAGCAAGAGGGUGAAGAUGAUGAGCUUGUUUUUGAAGGAUUUGCGAUGAGCUUCACACCUGCGUUGUGCAUGAAAAUGAGGGAGAAAAGAAGAAAUGGACGGAGCCAGAAGGAGAAAAGAAGAGAUGAUUCCAGAGUGAUAGUUUUCCAGGAGAAAAAAAGGUUAAAAGGUUGAAUAAAUAAUAAAAUAUUAUUAUGUAUGCAUCAAAUAAUAUAAAAUAUUACAAUAUAUACAUUAAAUAAAAUAAAAUAUUAUAAUAUAUGCAUUAAACAAUAUAAUAUUAUAGUUUGUUUAUUAUCUGGUUUUAUAGUCAAACACUGCACCAAACAUUUCACUAAGCUAGUCCAGCUUAAUCUAGUCUAAAUCAGUCCAGCUUAGUUCCAGUAGCUAGUUCAGUCCGAGACAGUCUGGUGCAACAAACGCACCCUAAAAGUAUUAUCUUUAAAUUAAUUUUCUGUUUUUCUCUUGGCCUGGGUCCCGGGACCAAUUUAUUUAAAUUUGAACCCAAGCAACACCAAACUUGGACCCCACAUUACACUCUCACACUGCUCACUCUCGGUUUCAGAAAAUCUGAGUAUCCAUGGACCAUAUAUAAAGCCCCAUCCACCCCAACUUUUGUAAGGACCCAUCUCUCCCUCAAGCAAUCUCUUUUGUUCUAAACUACUCCUCUAGCAUCUUUCACUCUCCAAGUACUAAUUGAGUUCCCACUAAAUUCGGGACUCAAUCUCCCCACAAAAGUUUUGGCCUCACCACUUAUGGAAGAAUUAAUAAUCUCCCCCUCUUCAUCCUCAUCCCUAGUCUCCUUGCCUCAAGAAAACCAUCCAUCCCUCCAACAAAGGCUCCAAUUCAUUCUUCAAUCCCAGCCAGACUGGUGGUCAUACGCCAUCUUCUGGCAAACCUCGAACGACCACCUGGUGGACAAUGGUUGUCUCUUCCUGACCUGGGGAGACGGCCAUUUCCAACGCCCCAAAGACGCAUCACCCAACAACCACCACCACAACCCCUACGAAGUUCUAUCCGAAAGAAGGAAGAUCCUCAAGGGCAUCCAAUCCCUCAUCAACGACACCAACAAUCCAGAUAACCAUUAUCUCUACAACAUGGGCUUAAACGCCAACACCACCAACAUCGAGGGGUUCUUCGUCAGGUCGUUCGCUCGAUCCUUCUCCGUCGGUGAAAGCAUUAAUACUAAUGUUCCCGGCAAGGCUUUUAGCUCUGGAUCUUUGGUGUGGCUGACUGGAAGCCAUGAGCUCCAAUCCUACGUCUGCGAAAGAGCAAAAGAAGCACAAAUGCAUGGGAUUCAAACCCUAGUCUGCAUCCCAACCCCCACCGGAGUUCUCGAGCUGGGUUCUUCAGAUUUGAUCAGAGAAAACUGGAACCUGGUUCAGCAAACGAAAUCCUUAUUCUGGUCGGACCUUGUUUCGGACCAACAAGAACCGGGAACCAGAUCCCCCAUCAAUCUAAUCAACCGAAACUUCUCCUUCUCCGACUUUGACAUCAUCGCCGGCGUUCAGGAAGAAAAAAACAAAAAGGAAGUCCCCUUGGAUAUAACGGUGAUGAAGAAGACGUGCGGAAGAGCAUGUCCGGGUUCCAUACCGUUUUCGAAUCUAAAUAACCUUAACCCGGAACCUUCGGAUUCGGAGUUUCCCAAACGGACGCCGAAAAAGCGAGGGCGA